rnacentral:rRNA from 1 species
CCUACGGGUGGCAGCAGUAGGGAAUUUUGCGCAAUGGGCGAAAGCCUGACGCAGCAACGCCGCGUGAUCGAGACGCGCUUCGGGGUGUAAAAAUCCGUCAGUUGGGGCGAAACAUGACGGUACCCACAGAGGAAGCACCGGCUAACUCCGUGCCAGCAGCCGCGGUAAUACGGGGGGUGCAAGCGUUGUCCGGAAUCAUUGGGCGUAAAGAGUGCGUAGGCGGCACGGAAAGUCUGGUGUGAAAGGCAAUGGCUCAACCUGUGUACGGCACUUGAUACUUGUGAGCUAGAAUGUGGGAGAGGUAAAGGGAAUUCUUGGUGUAGCGGUAAAAUGCGUAGAGAUCAGGAGGAACACCGGUGGCGAAGGCGAUCUACUGGGCCGUAAUUGACGCUGAGGAGCGAAAGCCAGGGGAGCAAAUGGGAUUAGAUACCCGAGUAGUC